UCUAANUGUGGCAGAUUAGUGCAAUGGAUUUAAGCUCCGUAUAUAAAGUUUUGNACUUUUAUUAGAAA
rnacentral:tRNA from 1 species